rnacentral:rRNA from 1 species
AGUAACUGCGAGUGAAGCGGGAAAAGCUCAAAUUUAAAAUCUGGUGGCCUUUGGUCAUCCGAGUUGUAAUUUAGAGAAGCGUCUUCCGCGCUGGACCGUGCACAAGUCUCCUGGAAUGGAGCGUCGUAGAGGGUGAGAAUCCCGUCUUUGGCACGGACUCCCAGUGCUUCUGUGAUGCGCUCUCGAAGAGUCGAGUUGUUUGGGAAUGCAGCUCAAAAUGGGUGGUGAACUCCAUCUAAAGCUAAAUAUUGGCGAGAGACCGAUAGCGAACAAGUACCGUGAGGGAAAGAUGAAAAGCACUUUGGAAAGAGAGUGAAACAGUACGUGAAAUUGUUGAAAGGGAAACGCUUGAAGUCAGUCGCGUCGUCCGAGACUCAGCCUCGCCUCGGCUUGGUGUACUUCUCGGCCGACGGGUCAGCAUCAAUUUUGCCCCUUGGAUAAUGGCGAGGGAAAUGUGACACCUUUGCGGGUGUGUUAUAGUCUCUAGUCGCAUGCAAGGGUCGGGAUUGAGGAACUCAGCACGCGCCUUCGGGCGUCGGGGUUCGCCCACGAUACGUGCUUAGGAUGUUGGCGUAAUGGCUUUAAACGACCCGUCUUGAAACACGGACCAAGGAGUCUAACAUGCCCGCGAGUGUUCGGGUGGAAAACCCGUGCGCGCAAUGAAAGUGAAAGUUGGGACCUCUGUCGUGGAGGGCACCAACGCCCGGACCAGACCUUCUGUG